UUUACAGACCUAUUCAGACUAAUAUGCAACCUGUUCAUGAUGAGAUCAGCAUUCAAGAUUAAGAUUACAUAAUUAGACAUUGUCAUAGUAUAUUCAAGAAUUUACAUACUUUGUGAACACCCAGUGCGACAAACUGUUUUGAAAAUACAAAACUGCAAAUCACAUGUUUAGAUAAGACGGGAAUGAAAUUCUGGUGGAAACUUCUAUUGUUUGCCAUCACAAUAGAAUUGAACGACAAAGUUUGUCAUGGCAAAGAUGAUCUGAGUCAAAACAGUGGCCAAAGCAAAGGAGAAAAUGGAGCAUGCAAGUACGAUAUUAUUUUUCUCCUCGAUAUGUCAUCUUCAGUUGGACCUAAUGGAUUUGAAAAGGCCAAGGACUAUGUUAUUGAAACGAUCAACACAAAUGAAUUGAAUUAUUAUCCAACUCAGAUUGGAAUAAUAACAUUUUCUCAAGAUGCAAACAUGGAUAUACCACUGAAAAAAUACAAGGAAAAAGAUAAACUGAUAGAAGCCAUUAGAAACAUCAAAUGGAAAGGCGGUGUAACUGAUACUUCCAAAGGUCUAAAUUUAUUAAGACUUAAAGGUUUUACCGAAGAAAAUAGAUAUGACGAAAAGAUCGGAAAAAUUGGUAUCGUUGUCACAGACGGGAAGUGCACACAUCCAGUGGCAACAAACGCUCAGGCGGAAAGAGUAGAAUCUUAUGGUAUCCAAGUGUAUUCCAAGGGCAUAGGUGAUGACUUUGAUGAAGAGGGACUAAGAAACAUUGGCCGUUUAGUACCAGGAACAGACUGUUUCUAACUACACAAUUAAUUUUACACGUUAUAUAUACAUAUAUUUAUAAUGAAAAUAUUUAUUGAAUGGAACAAAACAAACAAAACAAGAGGCGAUAAUCAGAAUCCUUUCACAACUGUUAUUUAAGUGUAUUGAGAAAUAAAAGCAAAUUAAUGCAAAUGAGUUCGUCAUAUCUCGGACAGAUCUUGAUAGGUCUGUUUUUCAUUCAUGUAUCGUAGUGUAAAAACAAAUAGCAAGAGCCAUGUUCUCCAAAUAGAAAUUUCUACUUAUA